UACGUAGGUGGCAAGCGUUGUCCGGAAUUAUUGGGCGUAAGCGCGCGCAGGCGGCCUCUUAAGUCUGAUGUGAAAGCCCCCGGCUCAACCGGGGAGGGCCAUUGGAAACUGGGAGGCUUGAGUAUAGGAGAGAAGAGUGGAAUUCCACGUUGUAGCGGUGAAAGUGCGGUAGAGAUGUGGACGGAAGACACCCAGUGGGCCGAAAGGGCGACCUCUUUUGGACCCUUAUAAACUGGACGGCCGAGGGCCGGCCGGAAAAGUCGUU
rnacentral:rRNA from 1 species